AGUCGUAACAAGGUCUCCGUAGGUGAACCUGCGGAGGGAUCAUUACACAAAUAUGAAGGCGGGCUGGAACCUCUCGGGGUUACAGCCUUGCUGAAUUAUUCACCCUUGUCUUUUGCGUACUUCUUGUUUCCUUGGUGGGUUCGCCCACCACUAGGACAAACAUAAACCUUUUGUAAUUGCAAUCAGCGUCAGUAACAAAUUAAUAAUUACAACUUUCAACAACGGAUCUCUUGGUUCUGGCAUCGAUGAAGAACGCAGCGAAAUGCGAUAAGUAGUGUGAAUUGCAGAAUUCAGUGAAUCAUCGAAUCUUUGAACGCACAUUGCGCCCUUUGGUAUUCCAAAGGGCAUGCCUGUUCGAGCGUCAUUUGUACCCUCAAGCUUUGCUUGGUGUUGGGCGUCUUGUCUCUAGCUUUGCUGGAGACUCGCCUUAAAGUAAUUGGCAGCCGGCCUACUGGUUUCGGAGCGCAGCACAAGUCGCACUCUCUAUCAGCAAAGGUCUAGCAUCCAUUAAGCCUUUUUUUCAACUUUUGACCUCGGAUCAGGUAGGGAUACCCGCUGAACUUAAGCAUAUCAAUAAGUCG
rnacentral:rRNA from 1 species